UGAAACCUUUAAUAGAAUCUUGAACAAUCUCUGUCCAAAUGUUCUCACUUCCUCCUCCCGCAUCUCCAUCAGACAUUCCUCGAAAUCUCACACUGCUUUUUUGGCCUAUGUUGCAUGGUAGAGGAUAUGGUUAUGGGAUAGGGAAUUUAAUCCAUGGUCUUAAUUGGAACAUGACCAAUAGAGAGAACCUGAUACAAGUCCUUGACACCAUGCAGGUGCUGAAUAACUGUCUAAUUGGUAA